UCAAAUUUUUGUAGGAUGAUAAAGGUGGUCGUUAUUUCUGAUAUUGACAUAAUAUAUUGUAAUUCGAAGCUAUUUGAGAGGUUAGUAAAUUACAAAAUACGAAGUAAAAAUAAAAGAUUAUUUCUCGUUACAACUUAAGAAUGAAAUAAUUCCAAGAAAAAUGAUACGUCCGCUGGCACGCGCCGCCUGGCGCACGCUCUCCCCACCUAGUAACUGUCACGCGCCAAAGAAUCAAAGAUCGGCAUCAGCAAAAGGUAACAUCAGGUCAAGGAAAGUACGACUCAUCAUUGGCGGAAAUUAAAAUGCUAAGAGGAAUGCAAUAGCAAGGACUUCAAAGAGGAAAAGUUCCAAAACAGUUACAUAGAAAC
rnacentral:misc_RNA from 1 species